rnacentral:pre_miRNA from 1 species
ACAAUAUUUGGACCGUCGGUCUGCCGAGCAAUUUAACCCGCUCGGUGGGAAAGGGAAGACCUUCCCCUUUGUCUU